rnacentral:rRNA from 1 species
CGGGACACGUGGUAUCCUGUCUGAAUAUGGGGGGACCAUCCUCCAAGGCUAAAUACUCCUGACUGACCGAUAGUGAACCAGUACCGUGAGGGAAAGGCGAAAAGAACCCCGGCGAGGGGAGUGAAAAAGAACCUGAAACCGUGUACGUACAAGCAGUGGGAGCACGCUUAGGCGUGUGACUGCGUACCUUUUGUAUAAUGGGUCAGCGACUUAUAUUCUGUAGCAAGGUUAACCGAAUAGGGGAGCCGAAGGGAAACCGAGUCUUAACUGGGCGUUAAGUUGCAGGGUAUAGACCCGAAACCCGGUGAUCUAGCCAUGGGCAGGUUGAAGGUUGGGUAACACUAACUGGAGGACCGAACCGACUAAUGUUGAAAAAUUAGCGGAUGACUUGUGGCUGGGGGUGAAAGGCCAAUCAAACCGGGAGAUAGCUGGUUCUCCCCGAAAGCUAUUUAGGUAGCGCCUCGUGAAUUCAUCUCCGGGGGUAGAGCACUGUUUCGGCAAGGGGGUCAUCCCGACUUACCAACCCGAUGCAAACUGCGAAUACCGGAGAAUGUUAUCACGGGAGACACACGGCGGGUGCUAACGUCCGUCGUGAAGAGGGAAACAACCCAGACCGCCAGCUAAGGUCCCAAAGUCAUGGUUAAGUGGGAAACGAUGUGGGAAGGCCCAGACAGCCAGGAUGUUGGCUUAGAAGCAGCCAUCAUUUAAAGAAAGCGUAAUAGCUCACUGGUCGAGUCGGCCUGCGCGGAAGAUGUAACGGGGCUAAACCAUGCACCGAAGCUGCGGCAGCGACGCUGAUGCGUUGUUGGGUAGGGGAGCGUUCUGUAAGCCUGUGAAGGUGUGCUGUGAGGCAUGCUGGAGGUAUCAGAAGUGCGAAUGCUGACAUAAGUAACGAUAAAGCGGGUGAAAAGCCCGCUCGCCGGAAGACCAAGGGUUCCUGUCCAACGUUAAUCGGGGCAGGGUGAGUCGACCCCUAAGGCGAGGCCGAAAGGCGUAGUCGAUGGGAAACAGGUUAAUAUUCCUGUACUUGGUGUUACUGCGAAGGGGGGACGGAGAAGGCUAUGUUGGCCGGGCGACGGUUGUCCCGGUUUAAGCGUGUAGGCUGGUUUUCCAGGCAAAUCCGGAAAAUCAAGGCUGAGGCGUGAUGACGAGGCACUACGGUGCUGAAGCAACAAAUGCCCUGCUUCCAGGAAAAGCCUCUAAGCAUCAGGUAACAUCAAAUCGUACCCCAAACCGACACAGGUGGUCAGGUAGAGAAUACCAAGGCGCUUGAGAGAACUCGGGUGAAGGAACUAGGCAAAAUGGUGCCGUAACUUCGGGAGAAGGCACGCUGAUAUGUAGGUGAAGCGACUUGCUCGUGGAGCUGAAAUCAGUCGAAGAUACCAGCUGGCUGCAACUGUUUAUUAAAAACACAGCACUGUGCAAACACGAAAGUGGACGUAUACGGUGUGACGCCUGCCCGGUGCCGGAAGGUUAAUUGAUGGGGUCAGCGCAAGCGAAGCUCUUGAUCGAAGCCCCGGUAAACGGCGGCCGUAACUAUAACGGUCCUAAGGUAGCGAAAUUCCUUGUCGGGUAAGUUCCGACCUGCACGAAUGGCGUAAUGAUGGCCAGGCUGUCUCCACCCGAGACUCAGUGAAAUUGAACUCGCUGUGAAGAUGCAGUGUACCCGCGGCAAGACGGAAAGACCCCGUGAACCUUUACUAUAGCUUGACACUGAACAUUGAGCCUUGAUGUGUAGGAUAGGUGGGAGGCUUUGAAGUGUGGACGCCAGUCUGCAUGGAGCCGGCCUUGAAAUACCACCCUUUAAUGUUUGAUGUUCUAACGUUGACCCGUGAUCCGGGUUGCGGACAGUGUCUGGUGGGUAGUUUGACUGGGGCGGUCUCCUCCUAAAGAGUAACGGAGGAGCACGAAGGUUGGCUAAUCCUGGUCGGACAUCAGGAGGUUAGUGCAAUGGCAUAAGCCAGCUUGACUGCGAGCGUGACGGCGCGAGCAGGUGCGAAAGCAGGUCAUAGUGAUCCGGUGGUUCUGAAUGGAAGGGCCAUCGCUCAACGGAUAAAAGGUACUCCGGGGAUAACAGGCUGAUACCGCCCAAGAGUUCAUAUCGACGGCGGUGUUUGGCACCUCGAUG